GCAUGCCAUUUGCUUAGUAAGGCGGCUGGCCAAGCUUGCACAAUAAGCCAAGAAGAGAUAUUUUUAGUAUAUUUUUAUAAAAAAGACCCUAAAAGUUGAAAAAUUGCUCUUAGGCCCCUCAUUUUCUUCCUCCAAUGUGUUUUAAGUGUAAAAACACAAUAAAACACUCUCUUUUCAUGCCAAAAACCAGUGAGUGUUCAUCCAAGAGAGAGGAGAAAAAUGAUUUACCAAAAGUGAAGAAAAGGGAGUUUUAAGAGGAAAUCGAUCGACCUACUGAGGAUUAGAGACACCAGAGCUUGUUCUUCAUUCUUUUAAGAAAUAAGCACGAAAGAGAACAGACAGUGUGGCGAAUAGAGGAUUCCACUCCUUAAAAUAGGCAGUGGCAAACGACGGACGAGUGGAGAUUGGAGAAUAGAUGGCACACGCAAUUAUUUUC